rnacentral:rRNA from 1 species
AGUGAACGCUGGCGGUAGGCCUAACACAUGCCAGUCGAACGGCAGCACAGUAAGAGCUUGCUCUUACGGGUGGCGAGUGGCGGACGGGUGAGGAAUACAUCGGAAUCUACUUUUUCGUGGGGGAUAACGUAGGGAAACUUACGCUAAUACCGCAUACGACCUACGGGUGAAAGCAGGGGAUCUUCGGACCUUGCGCGAUUGAAUGAGCCGAUGUCGGAUUAGCUAGUUGGCGGGGUAAAGGCCCACCAAGGCGACGAUCCGUAGCUGGUCUGAGAGGAUGAUCAGCCACACUGGAACUGAGACACGGUCCAGACUCCUACGGGAGGCAGCAGUGGGGAAGAUUGGACAAUGGGCGCAAGCCUGAUCCAGCCAUACCGCGUGGGUGAAGAAGGCCUUCGGGUUGUAAAGCCCUUUUGUUGGGAAAGAAAAGCAGCAGGUUAAGACCCCGCUGUUCUGACGGUACCCAAAGAAUAAGCACCGGCUAACUUCGU